rnacentral:rRNA from 1 species
CAAUAGCGUAUACUAAUGUUGUUGCAGUUAAAAAGCUCGUAGUUGAACUUCUGGUAGGAGUGUCCCGGCCUUUUUGUUUUUACAAAUUGUAUGCUGUGUGACAUCUCUGGCCAUCCUUCUUCUUUGUUUAAAGAAGAUCUUUCACUGUAAAAAAAUUAGGGUGUUCAAAGCAAAAGUUUCUUUGGAAUAUAUUAGUAUGGGAUGAUAAGAUAGGCUCUAGAUGCUAUUUUGUUGGUUUGCACAUUUAGAGAAUGAUUAACAGGGACAGUUGGGGGUAUUCGUAUUUACAUGUCAGAGGUGAAAUUCUUGGAUUUUGGAAAGACGAACUACUGCGAAAGCAUUUACCAAGGAUGGUUUCAUUAA